UAGGGAAUCUUCGGCAAUGGGGGGAACCCUGACCGAGCAACGCCGCGUGAGUGAAGAAGGUUUUCGGUUCGUAAAGCUCUGUUGUUAAGGAAGAACGAGUGUGAGAAUGGAAAGUUCAUGCUGUGACGGUACUUAACCAGAAAGGGACGGCUAACUACGUGCCAGCAGCCGCGGUAAUACGUAGGUCCCGAGCGUUGUCCGGAUUUAUUGGGCGUAAAGCGAGCGCAGGCGGUUAGAAAAGUCUGAAGUGAAAGGCAGUGGCUCAACCAUUGUAGGCUUUGGAAACUGUUUAACUUGAGUGCAGAAGGGGAGAGUGGAAUUCCAGGUGUAGCGGUGAAAUGCGUAGAUAUAUGAAGGAACACCGGUGGCGAAAGCGGCUCUCUGGUCUGUAACUGACGCUGAGGCUCGAAAGCGUGGGGAGCGAACAGG
rnacentral:rRNA from 1 species